ACGCGAGCGAGAAGAACUCAUGUUGGAUACGUAUGGCGUUGUCCUUGUCUGGGCUCUCAGCUCAGACCUCAGCUCUACCGCGGUUACACACACACACACACACACAUAAAUCGUGUGCGGACAGGCCGGUGUUCCGUUAGUAGUAAUUGAUAAUUAAAUUAGUUCGCUUGUGUGGAGUGUUGGGGUCGUGAUAAAGUGCUC